ensembl:lncRNA
CAGAACCCUUUCUACAGUCACCUUGCGUGAGGGGCAAAGGCUCCACCACUUGAAGGAAUCAUGUCUCCGUGUUUCUCUGCAGAGAGAACAUGAAGGCAGCCUGAGGAUGAAGACAGAGUUACUGGUGCAGAUGGAUGGGCUGGCACGCCCAGAGGAUCUUGUAUUUGUCUUAGCAGCAUCUAACCUGCCAUGAUUCCCUUUUCUCUUUCUGAGCUCACGCCUCAGAAGUGGAGGCUCAGGGACUACAUCUUUCCAGUCAUCUUCAGAAGCACUACCCAACUGUUGUAGUCAGAAGGAUUCAGCAAGGGAAUACAUUAAAUACAGGACACCUAACUAAUAAGGUUGUUUUAUGAUAAUUACCCGAAGAGUCAAAUGCAAAGGAGUGCACAAAAUUAACCACACACUAGAAGCCCAAAGGAUUCAACUGAGGGCCUAGAUCCCAGCAGUUUCUCACACAAGUCCAGCCAGUGCCCUAGAGCCCAUGGCAAUGUCUCAUGUUUGUCCGUAUUGAGGAUUUGCACCUGGAAGGCCCAAAGGCCAGUGGCGGAAGCCAGAAAAUCUACGCUGGUGAGAUGAAGGAUUUGUGCCAAGCUGAGGGAUCCACAUUGGAGCCAGGAAGUGACGCUCAAGGUGAAGAUCAGAGCUCCUCUGAUGAAAACAGCAGCUAUUCCCAGCAACAGUGAGGCCCCGAGCUCUUCCUCUGAUGAAAGCAUCCUAGUUUGCAUCUGGAAAACCAUUCGCAGCAAGCUUCUCCUAGCAAAUCAACAGGCCAAGAUCUUCCCCUCCAGUUCUCUUUUUAUGGCUAUUGGUAACAAUCUUUAUGUGGAUCUUUCAUGCCCAGACCGUGCUGAUUCAGUUCAGCUGGGCAUUACAAGUUGACCAUUAGUCAAUCCACUACACCAACCAAGUGAGUUGGGUGGUUUUUCCCUGAAACUCAUUGUUUCCAUGAUUUUCACUCAAGAUGAAAUACAAUAUGUUAUUCCCAAGUUGGUGCAGCUUUUCUCUAUUAGUUUGAUCUA